GAUGAACGCUUGCGGCAGGCUUAAUACAUGCAAGUCGGACGGUAACAGGGUCUUCGGACUGCUGACGAGUGGCGGAUGGGUGAGUAACGCGUAUGCAACCUUCCUCACGCCGAGAAAAAGUCGACUGAAAAGUUGAAUAAAGUCUCGUGGUGUGCAUUUCUCGCAUGAGAGAUGUAUGAUAGAAGCAAUUUGGUGUGAGAUGGGCAUGCGUAUCAUUAGCUAGUUGGUAAGGUAACGGCUUACCAAGGCGACGAUGAUUAGGGGGCCUGAGAGGGUGGUCCCCCACACUGGGACUGAGACACGGCCCAGACUCCUACGGGAGGCAGCAGUAGGGAAUAUUGGUCAAUGGGCGGAAGCCUGAACCAGCCAUGCCGCGUGAUGGAUGACGGCCUUAGGGUUGUAAACAUCUUUUCUGCUAGAGGAAUAGAGUUCACGUGUGGACAGACGACUGUAUAGCAGGAAUAAGGAUCGGCUAACUCCGUGCCAGCAGCCGCGGUAAUACGGAGGAUUCGAGCGUUAUCCGGAUUUACUGGGUUUAAAGGGUGCGCAGGCGGGCUCUUAAGUCAGCGGUGAAAUGUCUGGGCUUACCCUAGGAAUUGCCGUUGAUACUGGGAGUCUUGGAUAAGCAUAAGGACGGCGGAAUGCGUAGUGUAGCGGUGAAAUGCUUAGAUAUUACGUAGAAGACCAAUUGCGAAGGCAGCUGUCUGGGUCUUUAUCGACGCUCAAGCACGAAAGCGUGGGGAGCAAACAGG
rnacentral:rRNA from 1 species